CAGUAGUCACGAGUUUGAUCAUGGCUACAGAACGAACGCUGGCGGCAUGCCUAACACAUGCAAGUCGAACGAGACCUUCGGGUCUAGUGGCGCACGGGUGCGUAACGCGUGGGAACCUGCCUUUAGGUUCGGAAUAACUCAGAGAAAUUUGAGCUAAUACCGGAUAAUGUCUUCGGACCAAAGAUUUAUCGCCUUUAGAUGGGCCCGCGUUGGAUUAGCUAGUUGGUGGGGUAAAGGCCUACCAAGGCGACGAUCCAUAGCUGGUCUGAGAGGAUGAUCAGCCACACUGGGACUGAGACACGGCCCAGACUCCUACGGGAGGCAGCAGUGGGGAAUAUUGGACAAUGGGCGAAAGCCUGAUCCAGCAAUGCCGCGUGAGUGAUGAAGGCCUUAGGGUUGUAAAGCUCUUUUACCCGAGAUGAUAAUGACAGUAUCGGGAGAAUAAGCUCCGGCUAACUCCGUG
rnacentral:rRNA from 1 species